UACGGAGGGUGCAAGCGUUAAUCGGAAUUACUGGGCGUAAAGCGCGCGUAGGCGGUUUGUUAAGCGAGAUGUGAAAGCCCUGGGCUCAACCUGGGAACUGCAUUUCGAACUGGCAGGCUAGAGUACAAGAGAGGGUGGUAGAAUUUCCUGUGUAGCGGUGAAAUGCGUAGAUAUAGGAAGGAAUACCAGUGGCGAAGGCGGCCACCUGGCUUGAUACUGACGCUGAGGUGCGAAAGCGUGGGGAGCGAACAGG
rnacentral:rRNA from 1 species